UGGGGAAUAUUGGACAAUGGGGGCAACCCUGAUCCAGCAAUGCCGCGUGUGUGAAGAAGGUCUUCGGAUUGUAAAGCACUUUCGACGGGGACGAUGAUGACGGUACCCGUAGAAGAAGCCCCGGCUAACUUCGUGCCAGCAGCCGCGGUAAUACGAAGGGGGCUAGCGUUGCUCGGAAUGACUGGGCGUAAAGGGCGUGUAGGCGGUUUACACAGUCAGAUGUGAAAUCC
rnacentral:rRNA from 1 species